AGUUGUAUCCUGGCUCAGAACGAACGCUGGCGGCAGGCCUAAUACAUGCAAGUCGAGCGCGCCCUUCGGGGUGAGCGGCGGACGGGUGAGUAACGCGUGGGAAUAUGCCCUUCUCUAAGGAAUAGCCUCUGGAAACGGAGAGUAAUACCUUAUACGCCCUUCGGGGGAAAGAUUUAUCGGAGAAGGAUUAGCCCGCGUUAGACUAGGUAGUUGGUGGGGUAAUGGCCUACCAAGCCUACGAUCUAUAGCUGGUUUGAGAGGAUGAUCAGCCACACUGGGACUGAGACACGGCCCAGACUCCUACGGGAGGCAGCAGUAGGGAAUCUUAGACAAUGGGGGCAACCCUGAUCUAGCCAUGCCGCGUGUGUGAUGAAGGCCCUAGGGUCGUAAAGCACUUUCGCCAGAGAUGAUAAUGACAGUAUCUGGUAAAGAAACCCCGGCUAACUCCGUGCCAGCAGCCGCGGUAAUACGGAGGGGGUUAGCGUUGUUCGGAAUUACUGGGCGUAAAGCGCACGUAGGCGGAUUAGUAAGUUAGAGGUGAAAUCCCAGGGCUCAACCCUGGAACUGCCUUUAAUACUGCUAGUCUUGAGUUCGAGAGAGGUAAGUGGAAUUCCGAGUGUAGAGGUGAAAUUCGUAGAUAUUCGGAGGAACACCAGUGGCGAAGGCGGCUUACUGGCUCGAUACUGACGCUGAGGUGCGAAAGUGUGGGGAGCAAACAGGAUUAGAUACCCUGGUAGUCCACACCGUAAACGAUGAAUGCCAGACGUCAGCAAGUAUACUUGUUGGUGUCACACCUAACGGAUUAAGCAUUC
rnacentral:rRNA from 1 species